rnacentral:rRNA from 1 species
GACAGAGGGUGCAAACGUUGUUCGGAAUUACUGGGCGUAAAGCGCGUGUAGGCUGCUCGGAAAGUCGGAUGUGAAAACCCAGGGCUCAACCCUGGGCCUGCAUUCGAUACGGGCAGACUAGAGUUCGGUAGGGGAGACUGGAAUUCCUGGUGUAGCGGUGAAAUGCGCAGAUAUCAGGAGGAACACCGGUGGCGAAGGCGGGUCUCUGGGCCGAAACUGACGCUGAGGAGCGAAAGCGUGGGGAGCAAGCAGG